rnacentral:sRNA from 1 species
CUUUACAACAUUCAUUCCUCUAUGUCGUUAUCUUCAUAGGACGAGGCAACUUUCAACAGUAGGUAAUCUUUUUUCCACCUUGUGUUUAAAGCUUGAAGCAAAAGGGUGAACAUAGCACAAGGUUAUUGGUCUUCACACAAGAACGAGCUACUAAUCUCAAGAUUGGAAAACUGCUUUUGGUUGUCUUCAUAUUGAAAGUAAGAGAUACUGAGUAGAUUGUGG